UAGGGAAUCUUCGGCAAUGGGGGCAACCCUGACCGAGCAACGCCGCGUGAGUGAAGAAGGUUUUCGAAUCGUAAAGCUCUGUUGUAAGAGAAGAACGUGUGUGAGAGUGGAAAGUUCACACAGUGACGGUAACUUACCAGAAAGGGACGGCUAACUACGUGCCAGCAGCCGCGGUAAUACGUAGGUCCCGAGCGUUGUCCGGAUUUAUUGGGCGUAAAGCGAGCGCAGGCGGUUUAAUAAGUCUGAAGUUAAAGGCAGUGGCUUAACCAUUGUUCGCUUUGGAAACUGUUAAACUUGAGUGCAGAAGGGGAGAGUGGAAUUCCAUGUGUAGCGGUGAAAUGCGUAGAUAUAUGGAGGAACACCGGUGGCGAAAGCGGCUCUCUGGUCUGUAACUGACGCUGAGGCUCGAAAGCGUGGGGAGCAAACAGG
rnacentral:rRNA from 1 species